rnacentral:rRNA from 1 species
AGCAGCCGCGGUAAUUCCAGCUCCAAUAGCGUAUAUUAAAGUUGUUGCAGUUAAAAAGCUCGUAGUUGAAUUUCGGGGUUAGUAGGCUGGUCGUGCCACUGGUACGUACUGGUCUCACUGACUCCUCCUUCCUGAUGAACUGUAAUGCCAUUAAUUUGGUGUUGCAGGGAAACUGGACUGUUACUUUAGAAAAAUUAGAGUAGUUUAAAGCAAGCUAACGCUUGAAUACAUUAGCAUGGAAUAAUGAAAUAGGACGUUCGAUCCUAUUUUGUUGGUUUCUAGGAUUGACGUAAUGAUUAAUAGGGAUA